UACAGAGGUCUCGAAGCGUUUGGUUUCGGGAUUCAUUGGGGCGUUAAAGGGUGCGUAGGUGGCGUGGUAAGUCUGGUGUGAAAUCCCGGGGCUCAACCCCGGAACUGCACUGGAUACUGCCAUGCUUGAGUACUGGAGAGGAGAUUGGAAAUUUACGGUGUAGCAGUGAAAUGCGUAGAGAUCGUAAGGAAGACCAGUGGCGAAGGCGAGUUUCUGGACAGUUACUGACGGCUGAGGCGACGAAAGGCCAGGGGGAGCCAAAACGGG
rnacentral:rRNA from 1 species